rnacentral:lncRNA from 1 species
AAAUGUAUAGAUGAACUUUUUUCUUUUUUCAAACAUUUUAAACAUAUCUUUUUUUUUCUUCCAUAAAACUAAAAUUUUCAUUUAAUCAAAGACAAGUUCCAAUAUAGUAGCACAUUUGGCUAAGACAUACAACUAGUACAAAUGAUAUUAGUAGAGAAUCUAUUUUAAGUAAAUGAUUAUAUUUUUAGAAGAAAAAAAGUAGUCCCCUAGAGGUGCUUGAUGAAGGAUACCACUCCCAUUUAUAUUUCAAUAAUUUUAGGGUUCACAAUAUUUAAAUUUUAACUUGAAUUCCAAUGUCAUAUGUUACCCAUUUAUUAAAUGAUAGAUUUAAUAACUUAUAAAAUUACUGAAUUAUUAUCUAAUGAAUAAAUAUCACAUCAAUUGAUAUUUAAAUUGAGACUUGAAUCUUGGGAUAACUGGUAUUACUCUUUAUGAUACUCUCCAUCUUAAAAUAAAGAGUGCUAGGGAUAGCCGCUAGCAUCACUCAAUCGUAUAGUCGCUAGCCUUGCAUCAAGCCACGUGUACUUUUAUUUAUUUUUUGUUUUGCAAUAAAUGUAUUACCAUAAGAUCCUUUCCUUACCAAUUUAUUUAAAAAUUGUCAUGGGCUCCCUUCAUUCAUUUAUGCACAUUCUCUCUUAAAACACGGCACACACUCUCUAUCAUAAUACAAAUAAAACACACUUUUCUCUCAAGUCAAAAUUCUGAGAGAGAGAGAGAGAGAGUGGCUACUAUCACUUGUAAAAUUGAAUUCACAAUUCUAAUUUUGUUAGAUACCAAAAUUAAUUAAUGAUUUUUAAUCUUCAGAUUUUUUUCAUUUU